rnacentral:rRNA from 1 species
CCCCUUGAAGGGUCGUUCGAGACCAGGACGUUGAUAGGUCAGGUGUGUAAGCGCAGUAAUGCGUUCAGCUAACUGAUACUAAUUGCCCGUAAGGCUUGAUCCUAUAACA